rnacentral:lncRNA from 1 species
GCCACCUGAAUGCUGCCUUAUCACAAGCCAGAUACAUACUGGUCUGUAGGGUAACUCCCCACUGUUGAUCCUCUGAGAUGAUUGUGGACUGGGUGCUGUGAGUCCUGCCACUUUGUUUAAGUGAAUGUGUCUUUUGUCCAGCUCAGCCGCCUCGGAUCUCGCUGCCACCAGCCUUACUGCACACCCGUGCCACCCGCCCUUGCCCCGUCAGCCUCAGCCUCAGCUCAUUCUCUCAGGCAGUCCCAGCAUUGGCACGGUACCUCCUCCCGCUGUGGGCCACACGUCUCUGCUCCCUGUCAACCCUCCUGCCAUCAGCACCACCACCAGCGACUUGUCUGCCCGGGAGGAUGCAACACCAUCUGCCUCCACCGGCCACCUUUCAGUGUUUCCUGCUUUCCAAGUAAAGAUACCAGCAGUGCCCUCAGAGCAGACCAGCCAGAGUUUUUCUGAAGCCUCCCACAGGGUGCUCCCCGGAGGAGGCCCGAGAUGCUCUCGUGACUUUGGAGCCGGGGUGGCUGGCCACCUUGGCCUGGGCAUCUUUGGGGUGGGCUUCGGGAGCCCGGCACUGCUGCAGAGUGUGGUGGAUGAGAACAGCUGCUGCUUGCUGUACGUGGUGGAGGACCAGCUGUGUGAUGUGGAGCAAGCCUUCAGAGCUGAGCAUUUGGGCCAACACCAGAGUGGUUCGGGAACAGGAUGCAGACAUUGUCCUCAACGACCAGCGGCACUUUGAUCCGGUUUUCCAGUUCUUGCACAAGCAAGUUUGUGUCAGCCACGCCCUGGGGAGGAUCCACUGGAUCACCGCCGUCACUGCCUGUUCCCGGCGGCCUCUCCGGCUUCCCUAAAGAGAGCAGCUUCCCUCGAGACCAGAAGCCAGAGCUCACCCUCCCUUGUGUCCAGGUGGGACUUUCUACAACGCUGCUGUGCACGACGUGGAUGCCGUAUGCAUGUUGCUGGGGGAAGCCACUCCGGACACUGUGUUUUCUCUGGGACAUGUCUUCUGCCCAGGUUGCAAAGGUGAAGAAACACAGUCCCGGCUGGAAGUCACAGCCAGGGUGGGAUGCACACAGAUUAGCAGAUCAUCAGCGAGCACCAGAUAUGGCCGCCUUAAAAGAUGCAGAUGCUGUUGUGAUCAGCAUGAAGUUUCCCUGUGAGGCCGUGGUUAGCGUGGACAUCAGCCAGCACUGCACAGACAGCUGCGACCAGGACGUCAGCCAGCACUGCACAGACAGCUGCGACCAGAGACUGGAGUUCCUCAGGGCCUUCCGGGUGACCGUGGCCGUGGAGCAGUCGUGGUGAAACCGGUCAGCUGUGGACCUGCCCUGCGAAUCGGCAGAGGCCUCCGUGGUGAAGACAGAAGCUCCGUGAACCAACUCGAGGCUGGAGCCAAGAUCCUGCCUGAUAUCCAGUUGCCUGUUUCACUUGUUACUGUUACUGGGAGAGGGAGACAAAACCUCAUGGCAAUCUUGUCCUCACUGGAGACUCAGAAGGGGAAGCAUUGGGAAACCAUGUAUGUUUCAUUUCUGGUUUAACCAGGCUUUUCAGGAUGGGACUUCAGACCAAGGACACAAGUUGGGCUUGCUUAGGUGUUUUGUGUUGUGCGCAGGCCUCAGAGAUGCUCUUCCGGUCAGAGUUCCCUUGGCAGGGCCUUGGAGGCCUCUGGUUGGCUCUCUCAGGAAGAGGGCAGGUCAGGGAUUGGGCGGUGUAAAUUGACUCAGAAACCUGCGGUUUCAGCUUUUCUGUGGCAAACAGGGCCGAGGGCUGGUGAAGCUGUUAAGGCUAAAUGUCGCAUGCAUGAGGCGGGCUGCAGGCCUCCUUAGGCCUUUUUUGGGGUAAUUACACCAGUAUUUAAAAACAUUUUUUUUUGUUUGUUUUGAGAUGGAGUCUUGCCCUGUCACCCAGGCUGGAGUGCAAUGGUGCGAUCUCGGCUCACUGCAACCUCCGUCUCCCAGGUUCAAGCGAUUCUUCUGCCUCAGCCUUCUGAGUAGCUGGGAUUACACGCGUGUGCCACCACGCUCGGCUAAUUUUUGUAUUUUUAGUAGAGAUGGGAUUUCACCAUGUUGGCCAGGCUGGUCUCGAACUACUGACCUCGUGAUCCACCUGCCAUGGCCUCCCAAAGUGCUGGGAUUACAGGCGUGAGCCACCAUGCUCGGCCUAAAAAACAAUUUUCUUGAAGAAUCCGAUUUUGUGCAUAGUAAUGACACAGCACCAUUCCUGAGAAAUAGGAAAUAUAUGUGUGUGGUAUGAAAAGCCCAUAUUCUGUUCUUGUCACCUGAAUCUAGGCUUCCUCUUUGGAUGUGAACGCGGGAAUGAACAGUGGCUGUUUUCCACCCAAAGGGGCGUGGAGACCUUUUGGAAACGGGCUUUCUCCUUUCCAUUUUGCAGCCGGGGGCGGGUGGAAACCUUCCUUCGAAGGGUAGUGCCUUGGGGAGCAGCAGACCUGCUCUGAGUCCAGCUUAGCUUUCCAAAAUUCUGUGUGGAACUUACUGGAGAUGUUUUUAUAUAUUUGAAAAUAAUGGCCUGUAUUUCUCACGCUAUACUUAAAAAAAAUAACUAACCUUUUAAACAAAGAUAUUCAAACUCACCCUUGUGCUGAAAGCACUCACAUUUCUGUGUUCAUUCCUGAAAGGGCGUUUUAGAGUCCCCGUUUCUACGUUCUAUGUGGCACCCUCUUGCCGAGGGAACAUCCAGAAUCCCUCCACUUCCUGUCUAGUUUGAGGCCUCAACACCUUCAUGAUCCAGAGUCCUGCGGCUAUGAGGGGGUGGGCCCACCACCGCCCAGCCCUCCUUGGUGGACGUGGGGACAGGUUUUGCUGAGAAACGGGAGUGCGUUCUGUGUC